rnacentral:rRNA from 1 species
GUGUCAGCCGCCGCGGUAAUACAGAGGGUGCAAGCGUUAAUCGGAAUUACUGGGCGUAAAGGGAGCGUAGGUGGCUCUAUAAGUCAGAUGUGAAAUCCCCGGGCUUAACCUGGGAACUGCAUCUGAAACUGUAGAGCUAGAGUAUGUGAGAGGAAGGUAGAAUUCCAGGUGUAGCGGUGAAAUGCGUAGAGAUCUGGAGGAAUACCGAUGGCGAAGGCAGCCUUCUGGCAUAAUACUGACACUGAGGCUCGAAAGCGUGGGUAGCAAACAGGAUUAGAUACCCUGGUAGUCCACGCCGUAAACGAUGUCUACUAGUCGUUGGGUCCCUUGAGGACUUAGUGACGCAGCUAACGCAAUAAGUAGACCGCCUGGGGAGUACGGCCGCAAGGUUAAA